GAUGAACGCUGGCGGCGUGCCUAAUACAUGCAAGUCGAGCGAACAGACGAGGAGCUUGCUCCUCUGACGUUAGCGGCGGACGGGUGAGUAACACGUGGAUAACCUACCUAUAAGACUGGGAUAACUUCGGGAAACCGGAGCUAAUACCGGAUAAUAUAUUGAACCGCAUGGUUCAAUAGUGAAAGACGGUUUUGCUGUCACUUAUAGAUGGAUCCGCGCCGCAUUAGCUAGUUGGUAAGGUAACGGCUUACCAAGGCGACGAUGCGUAGCCGACCUGAGAGGGUGAUCGGCCACACUGGAACAGAGACACCGUCCAGACUCCCACGGGAGGCAACAGUAGGGGAUCUUCCGCAAUGGGCGAAAGCCUGACGGAGCAACGCCGCGUGAGUGAUGAAGGUCUUCGGAUCGUAAAACUCUGUUAUUAGGGAAGAACAAAUGUGUAAGUAACUAUGCACGUCUUGACGGUACCUAAUCAGAAAGCCACGGCUAACUACGUG
rnacentral:rRNA from 1 species